CCCUCGACAAACCUGGAAUACGAGAGCUGCUCCGUACCGCGAUACACAAACUUUUCCAACCGUGGGAAAAUAGAAAUUUGACUCCGGGAAAACGGGAGGAUUUUCGCACGGGUAAAUUGAACCCAUUUCAUUUAAUUUGACUGAAACACCGGAACUUCGUUACACUGACGGCGCAAUUUUUUUUUUUUAUUAACGAUCGUGAGAGAUUCGUGUCCCGUUAUAAGUGUCCCGUUUUUGGUAUUCAGAUUAUUAUUGGACGGGAGAUGAACAGGCCUUUUAAAUUCUACCAGAGGACAAGAUCGUGUGACGUGCCCGCGAUUAGGGCCCCGCUUCAAAGGGGAAGAUAAAGACCGUCGACACGACGAUCGGUGGGCUGGCCGAGCCCCAUCAGCGAGAUGGGGCCCCAUGGGGCCAAGCCCUGGACGUACAGGGCUGGCCCAGGGCCAUGGCCCGGCUACAACCUGAUACUACUACCGAUUGUGAUAAUCAUGGGACUGCUCAGUACAACCACGAUGGUGCAAGCGAAAGGCAAAGGUCAGAAUGGAGGAAGCUAUAUUGGCGACGUCAACGUUUCAGCCAUCUUGGACUCCUUCAGCGUCAGCUACGACAAACGUGUAAGACCCAACUACGGAGGCCCGCCCGUUGACGUCGGGGUCACAAUGUACGUUCUUUCCAUCAGCUCGCUCUCUGAAGUCCAAAUGGAUUUCACAUUGGAUUUUUACUUCCGACAGUUCUGGACUGAUCCGAGACUUGCAUUUCAAAAGAGACCUCAGGUAGAACAACUAUCUGUGGGCUCUGAAUUUAUCACAAACAUAUGGGUGCCUGAUACGUUUUUCGUAAAUGAAAAAACGUCAUCUUUUCAUAAAGCUACCACGUCGAAUGAGUUUAUCCGAAUACACCACACGGGUAGCAUUACUAGAAGUAUUCGAUUAACUAUAACAGCCUCCUGUCCAAUGAAUCUUCAAUAUUUCCCAAUGGACAGGCAACUUUGCCACAUUGAAAUCGAAAGUUUCGGUUACACCAUGAGAGACAUCCGUUAUAAGUGGAACGAGGGUCCCAACUCUGUCGGAGUGUCAAAUGAAGUGUCCUUGCCUCAAUUCAAGGUCCUUGGACACCGACAGAGGGACAUGGAGAUAUCCCUUACUACAGGAAACUACUCCCGUCUGGCCUGCGAGAUCCAAUUCGUACGCUCUAUGGGCUACUACUUAAUCCAGAUCUACAUCCCGUCCGGGCUAAUCGUAAUCAUCUCCUGGGUCAGUUUCUGGUUAAACAGGAACGCGACACCCGCUAGAGUCGCCUUAGGAGUCACCACCGUGUUGACCAUGACCACGCUGAUGUCAUCCACCAAUGCCGCUCUACCGAAGAUCUCGUACGUUAAAUCGAUCGAUGUGUAUCUGGGUACUUGUUUCGUCAUGGUAUUCGCCAGUUUACUUGAAUACGCCACCGUAGGAUAUAUGGCCAAACGAAUACAAAUGAGAAAGAAUCGAUUUUUGGCGAUCCAGAAAAUAGCCGAACAGAAGAAAUUAAACGUCGAUGGAGGACCGGAUGAUCAUAUGCCCAAACAAACGCAGGCCGUACGCUUUAAGGUGCACGACCCAAAAGCGCACAGUAAAGGGGGCACCUUAGAGAGUACAGUAAACGGAGGCCGUGGAGGUCGCGAGGGAGGUCCGGACGAAGAAGCGGGCGGCCCCCCGAUCCCCCAACACAUCAUGCACCCGAACAAAGACAUAAACAAGUUGUACGGCAUUACCCCAUCGGAUAUCGACAAGUAUUCUAGGAUAGUGUUCCCCGUGUGUUUCGUCUGCUUCAACUUAAUGUAUUGGAUCAUCUACCUGCACAUCUCGGACGUUGUCGCAGAUGAUUUGGUGCUACUCGAGGUUGAUAAGUAGAUAUCGAUGAUAGUUUGGGUGAAGAUGGAUUGGGAGGUGUCAGUGAAUAACUAUGCAGGAGAGAUUUUUUUUUGGAAAAACCUGCUGCAACCAUAUUAUACUGAAGUGGUUUAAUACUGAUAUACGCACCCAAGAACUGACAUAAGGCAAACGAUGCCAAAACAUAAGCAUAAUAUUCUUUAGAAAUCAACGAGUAGGAAUUUUAAAUCUGUUUAUUUUUUAAAAUGCGUCUCUAUUUCCGAGUUACCUUCUGUAGAGUUUGACCUAUCAAUUGUUACGAUUAAAUUUUUAUAUAACACGUUAAGUUUUCCGAUUAUUUUUUUGUUGGUCUAGUUCAAGGGCUAUACAAGUUACGUGCCUUUAAUGCAACGUAAGUGCACAUUGUAUAGAAAUGACUACUGGACCCGCGUUUUCUGGAUAUAAAAUAUCCCAAAAUAAAAUAAUGUCAUAUAGUUAAAAAAAGACUUUUAGAAUAUAGUCAAAAAAAACUCCAAUAAGACGGUCGAAAACAUCAAAAGACGGUUUUAUAAAACGCUUAAUGCUGUCCUCGACCCGAUUAUAAAGCGAAUGCACUGUCAACCAUUUUAUUGUCACUUCUGUUAAAUUUUUUAAAAAGUUUAUUUAUUCGUUGAACAUAUAUUUUUGUAGUUUAUAGGCACGAGACUAAUAAUUUAGCGAAAAAAAAUAUUCUAGUGUAACAUUAUUGAAACAUUCUAUACAGGGUGUCGAGAACGGAGCACACCCUGUAUCUUAGAACGUUUAUUAAUGCCCAUGUAAAUAUGACGUUCCUGUUUUUAUACCUAACUAAAAUGCACUAAUAUUCAUUGAAAUGCAAUUAUUUUUUAGAUUAGAUCUUCUAGCACUUACACUGACUUUUUGGGCAUUUUAUAUCUUGUUUUUGGUAAUAUAAAGAUGAAUAUUAUAAUAUUAAAGAAAUUAUUUUUUGUUUGAAAUAUAAUUUACCAUUAAUUAGUUUUACACGUGAUAGCGUAUAACUUUUUCAGACGUUUUGGGAUAAGAAUAUCCGUCAUCAAAUAUUUUCUGUAAGGACCUGAGCUUUGUUUUGGUAUACAGGGUGUUAAUUUUUUUUUAAUACAACUGUUAUUUUGAGUUAAUUUUUUUUGCAAGGUUUACUUAAGUAUUUUUUUUAAUGAUUAAAAAGGGUACUUUAAAUGAGAAUUAUUACGAAAAUAAUCAUUAUCAAUUAACAACUAUUAUGAAAAAUUGUGAAAAAAAUUUAGUGUGUUUUAGAGCACCUCAAAUAAAGUACUGUUUUUUUUUUUAAAUAAAUAAACCGGAAAACUGUGCCGAUGUUUCGACCUUUAGGUUAUCUUCAAGGAUGAAAACAUUAUUUUAUAACAUAUUAGCCUGGGCUUCGCCAACGACUUAAUAGUAGUCAGAGACAAACUCACGAACUUCAUUUUAGAAAGGACUGAAUAUAAUUGACAAGAAUAAAAUCUUGAUUUAAAAUCACCAUAAUUCCAAAUUACGAGACUGUUUUACCACAAACCAAAACACUUACAUGAAGAAAUUAAUAAGCCACGUGUAGCAUCGUCAAUCAAAUUUGUCACUAUACAUUUUCAAUCAGGUAUUUGCACCGUGUAAAAUGAACACAAACAACGCAAAAUACUCAUUUGCGCGCACCGCCUGAGUAUUUAGCGAUUUUUUCUUAUUGUAUGUCCCCAUUAGGUCUAAUCUACAAUUUCUUCACUAAUCAGAGUCAGUGUGAUUUAUUGCCUCCUCUUUCGUGGUAAUUCCGUUUUGAUUGAAUUUUGUGAAUAACAGAGUCCCUUACUUCAUGUGCUUUUUCAAAGUUUUCCACGUUUAAAAUGUUUAAAUUCAAUAGAAUUUAUCCGUCUCAGCUCUUUAAUAUCCUCGGUAUCAUCCUAAAAUUGUGUUUUUCUAGUUCAUGUAAGUCCAAUUACGGACAAAUACACUCAUUUUAUAGUCAUUAUUUUCUUAUUUUUAAGCUGCAUUCAUGAUAUAUGAGUCCUCUAGAUGCAAAACCAGAUAUAUCACUUUGUAAUAAAACUGAGAUAAUUGCAAAAAACUGCCAUUUGUUUAUAAAGGAUAUUAUUGGCCGAAUAUUGGACCAACCGAAAGGUGAUGGGUUCUUAAUAAAAUAUAGCAAAGAAAUAAUUAUUUUUUUCUUAAUUUUAAACACUUAUUUAAAAAAAUGCUGUGAAUAUAACUGAUUUUGAAACUUAGGCCAGGAUUUAUCUGUUUUUGAAUUUUAAAGUACUGUUUAAUGAGAGACAUUAUUUCUUUAAAAAAAAUUUUUAUUAUUUUUUUUUAAUAACAAAGAUAAACUUAAAAAUAAUCCUUAAUCAAAAAAACGUGUCAAAUUGACAAAUUUUUUCAAAAAAUCAAAUAAUAAUAUUAGUUGAAAUGUUUUCUUAAAAUGUAUUACACAAAUCUAUUGUCGUCUUCUUGAGGCUCACACAGGACUUCUUCUUCCUAGACCAUUUCUUCUUGUUCUGCAGUUAAGUUACCAACUCUGUUCAAAACAUCUUUGUAGUACUGAAGUCCUAAAAUAUCUGCUUCUUCCUUCCAGUUUGCGCCGAAGUGUCCGAUGAGGAGUUCGUCAACAUUUUUAAUUUUUUCUGGCUUUAAGUUUGGACAACUUAUGUUCAUUUCAGAAGGAUUAACAGUCAUCAGUGUUUUUCCUUUUGUACAUAUACUUUGUGCUUUACUAACGGAGUGUAUAUAAAAUGGCUCUCCUUUAACAAUGACAUUUCCUGAUUGGUUUUUUGUAAAUAAUAUACGUUUACAUGAAUGUAGUGACGAAGUCCAUUUUAUGUUAAGUUUGACUUGUUCCUGCCAAUCAAAAACCUUCCAAUUCCAAAUUUGCACGGUACCAAAUUCCUCAAAUAUUUCAUGGUAUUUCUCUGGAAUAAUAAUAAUAAUCUCCUCCUUGCGUAGCCUCUUCUCCAUAUUUGCGAAAACCCGGUCAGGUGGUAUGUAUGAGUGGCCCGCCACUGGGAAUAUUAACUCACCGGAUUGAAUGUGAUCUGGAGCACCUUGAAACCAAACCGAUACCAUGGUGAUCAUUGUUAGGUUCUUAUUUUGUCCUCCGCAUCCAUCGGAACAAAGUCUCAGAUCUGUUAUGUCUGUUAAGUCUAGUUUUUGAAGUCUGUCAAAGACCGCGGAACUGGGCUGGGAUUCCAAAAUCUCGACUCGAUCUCGAUAUGAUCACGACUUCGAAUUCGAUCGCGACUCCGUCAGUCGUGACGACAAAGGUGAUUCUAAAUUUCAAUCGUCGGCUAAACUCGUUUUUUUCGAGUUGAUUAAGGUUUCUUGGUACAUAUUUGUUAUUUUCCCUAAUAUUUGGCAGAUGGAAACGUCAAUUGUCUUUUCUAUUGAUAAACAGUAAACACUAAGAAUUUUUAUUUAUUUUGUUAAUUUUUUCACCUUUCAUUUCAGUAAUUUUAUGGAUUCAACGACUUGCAAUAGUUUCGCUAAUUCCAAAUUUAAAAUCUUGUCCAAUGCUUCUUUGGUAAUAAUCUGUGGCAUAAAAUCUUGACAUACUAAAACUGCCCAUUCAAUGGUAACUCUACUUCCUCUGCCUCUAUUAUUAACAAAAGGUUGUGGAAAAUAGGGUCGAAUUAAAUCUAUUAGUUGUUGUGUUUAAGAAAGCUUCUUGAUAUACUAAUGAAAACCUGGUAUGACUAUUGGUAAACAAUAAAUGAAACAAAUACAAUAUAAUAGGCUUGUUGGUCGGGUAUCUUCGGUAGCACUAAAUUUUUUUCACAAUCGUAUGACAUUGUUAAUAACCCUGGACGCUCUUCUUGCAGCAAUUGGAAAAAUGAUUUAGAUUUUAAUUUAUGGAGCCUACUCUGCGCAAUAAGGUUGUUUUUCAUGUUGGGCUUUCGUAUUUUAAAUUUUGGAUUUAUAUUCCAAGCAGCGUGAGCAGACGUCUGUUUGAGCCGCCUUAAAUCCCAAAUUAAAUUUGGCAUUAAAUAGGGAUCUAAAAUAAGAUUCUUUCACCCGGUGGUCUUCAAAACUUGAAUUAUUAGGAUUCCACAUUUUUUUAAUGCUCAAGUUGCUAGCCAGGUACUGCCUUUCACUUCUGCCUCUACAAUAGUGACUUUCUAUAACAGAGAAAGACUUAAUAAAGUUUAUGAUCAUUCCUUUUUUUUUAAAUAUUUGUCUUUGACUUUAUCACCACCUCGGGAUUCUAAAGGCAUUUGUCCUGUUUUAAAAAAUCGACUUAAUACACCAGUGACUCUAUUAUGUCCUAGAUCUAGGGCCCGCAAAAAGGUAUUUUUACAAACAGGUACACAUUCCUUGGAAAGUUUUUUUAGGUAUAAAAUAGUGGAAAGACGCGUUUCGGGCUCUUAAAUUUUUUAAAGCUCGUCGUCUUUUAACUUCCUUAAUAAUACAGUGCUUUAUAAUAAAACAAUCUUGUAUUGUUUUUUUUGUGAGAAGCAAAGAAAGAUUUAUGGAAAGUUGCAAUAUCAGCAUUUGUUAAUAAGGAGCACUUGUAUGAAGGUGUGUUGUGAGUUGUGAGAACAUAAAGGAAAUCUUAGCGGAGCGGUAGCUGAAUAUCUAUGAAACAAAAAACGUAAGCUUAGCAACGAAUAUCACAUUUAAAAGAAACAUACCUCGUUUCGGUAGCUGCAUGUCUUUUCCAGUGUUUACACUGUUUCAAGACUUUCCGUGCUUUACUGGGUGUUCAUUAUGAGUUUUCUUUAUAAAAAUACAAUACAUAUAAAAGAACCAUUCAUUAACACUUAAAUACUACUAAUUUCAAAUCACACUAAAUACGUAGGUAGUACUUCAAUCAAAUUUUCAGAACAACUGACUGCAAAAAAAAGAAAUGUAAACAGUAUUAAACCGCCCAAAUGGAUUUAACUUGUUUUGACUUGCUUGUGCGUUUACGCGAAGCGACAAGGUUGGGAUAUAUCUGAAUUUGCAGCGCAAUGGAUUUACCUUUGAAUAUCAUUUAGCUUAAAAUAUAUCUGGUUUUGACAUUUAGUAGGAGCUUAAACGGCAUUUUUUAGCGUGAUAUGACCGAGUUAGAAACUUUUUAAAUAUUGCAUAGUAGAUAACUUUAAUAGUAUUAUAGGUUUGCGCCAAAAUGACAAAAAGUAGAUUUAUCCGCUUUUGCAUCUAGAAGACUCAUAUGACUUAGGAGAGCCAAAAUCUCCACUUUUUCGGACAUAUUCGUCUCAGUUCUUUAAUAUCCUCGGUAUCACUCUAAAAUUGUGUUUUUCUAGUUCAGGUAAUAUAAUUACGGACAAAUACACUCAUUUUAUAGUAAUUAUUUUCUUAUUUUUAAGCUGCGUUUAUGAUAUGACUUAGAAGAGCCAAAAUCUCGACUUUUUCGGACUUAUCCGUCUAAGCUCUUUGUCGAUUGACGUUUUGUCGUUUUUCGAUAAGAUUAGGUGUGUUAUUACGAUUGGUGCCUCUGCAGUGCAAAGAAAUUACAUUGCAUUUUUCUUCUUGCAUUGACUAGCAAGUAGCUUUAUUAUAAUAAGUUAAUCCUUUUCUUGUUCUUGUCAAUGUAAUGGUAUUGUUACAUAUUUGUCAACUCAAAAAUAUCAUUGAUUAAUUCUUACAUGAUCAUCCUAUGUCUGCAGUAUCAAGAAAUUAUUCAUUCAUUGAUUUUUAGAAUUUCAUUAUUGUUGUAAAAUAAUAUACUUGAUCAACGCGUAUUUUCAAGAGCUUCAACUUUGGCAUUUGAAUCCACUUCGACAAUAAUUCGGCCUGAAUUAUAAAUGAAAAAAAAACUUUUUCGAAAUUUCCGAAUUUCCGUCAGUUUCUCAUAUCAUAAUUUUUAGAUACGAACUGAGGCAAAUUGAUAAAAACAUUAACACAGCUUAUAAUAGAAGCUAAAAUUUCAAACAUUUUUGCUGAAUCUAUUCACUUCCUAAUGACUUUGACUGCGUAAAGUAAAAUGCAGCUCAGAUUUUUUUGAAAAUUUUAAAGGUGAGAUCAAUGUUGUAGGUCUUACGAUAUAGCACCAAUCCACAACUAACCCCAAUCAUUCCCUAAAAAAAGCUGUAAUUAAAAAAUUAGCCUCCGGCUAUCGUUUAUAUUAUGUUGUUUUCGGGCUACAGUUUGACUGUACUGUAUAACUCUGGUGGAUAAAAAUACACUUUACCUGAAAUAUUCGUAAUGAUUUCAAAAAGCUGCAUAAUAAUUGCAGAAUGGCUUCUUAAGGUAACAAAAUUAACUUCUCAGUUUUCAAAAGUAGCCAUAAAAAAUACAUCCUCUAGCUGACUAAAUUCAAAAAUUUUCUCUUGAGCAUUGAACCAUUUUCUACCAUAAAUUUAAUAAAACACCCUAUAUUUCAUCUUAUUUCGAACCAACCACCUUACAUAUUUAUUAAAAUAGUUACCAAAAACAAGAAAACGUGCCCAAAAACGUGCCGGACUUGUUUACAGGGUGUUCUAAAACGACCCCUAUUUAAUUUAAAAAAAAAAAACGCAUUUUAUAAAAAUAAAAAUUAAAAAUUGCGCAAGCGCGCGACUUAGUCGCGUAGAAACGAAAUUCUAAAAUAUGUAAAAUAAAUAUAAUGUAAUUAAAAUAAAUAUAUAUUAUACACAAAAAUGAAAUGAAAACUAUAUAAUGGCGUAUGACGUAACCCUUCUUAGAUGACGGACUUUUAGUUGUUUGACACUUUUUAGUAGAAUUUUAGUUACAUGCCAAAAAGCACUGAACGCGCAUGCGGUGUUUGGAAUUGUUAGACGAGUCGUUAAUAAUAGUAAUAACUCGGAUCAGUAUCAGUACAAAUCCAAACACUCUGUAUAUUUCUUUAUUUUAGUGAUAAUAGCUAACUCGAGGGUUACGUCAAAUGAUGAUGAACCCUAGAUAGGUAAAACGCUCGUAGCCCAAGGGAAACAGUUAAAAAUAUACCUAGUGAAAACAAUUACUGAAAGUUGUAUAUAAUUUAGAGUCGCAGGUAAAAUUUCAGAUGUAUUCAGAAAAUAAAAAAACUAUUACGAGAUUUAUUCUAUGGACGCGCUUUUUUAAAAUUUAUUUAUUAAGGAAUCCUCGUUGUACAGGGUGACCAAUUUAAAGUCGUAUACCUAGAAAACUGUAGGAGAUACAAUAUGACCUAAUUUAUGGCUUAAUUUGAGUUUUUUCUGAUAAAUCAAACAUUUCAUUUGAUCUAUUUUUACUCAAAAUCCAUCAUCGUCAUAAAGCAGAAUUACAAUUGUAGUAUUAUUAAUUUAAUUAAUUCAAAUUUUAAGAAUCAACCCAUUUGAGAUUAUCUGUUGUAGCUGUUCUUUAAAAUUCAUCAACAUGUUUAAUGGCAAAUUGAGGCUUAUUGCCCAAUAUAAGAUAUUUAUUUUUCCUUUGCCUCGUUUUUCCAAUGAAAUGUUUAAUAUUUUAAAUAUUUUGGGUUAGAAUUCACUUAUUUUGGGUUAUUCAUGGUAGAUUUAAAUAAGAUUUUUUUGCUUCGGGAGUUGUGUUAAUUAAAUCGAACUAAAAUAGGAGUUAAAUAAAAUGCUUCAUUAAAGAAUUAUUUUAAUUAAUUUUUUUGAGUAAAAAAUCCUUAUUGAAAGUCUCUUCUCUCGUAGGAUUAAAUAAGAUUUUCUAUAUGUAAAGGUAGUGCUAAUUCAAAUUUUAAAAAAUACUCAAUUAACCCUUAUGUGACUGGAAAGGUACCCGGGUACCUUUUUAGCUUUCAGAUAUGAAUAUCUUUUUAACUCACCUUCGAUGAAGCUUGUACUUUUGUGACAUUUCUUAAUUUGGUUUUUUUAAGUUAUUGUUAAAAUUGGAAUUUUUUUUUUAUUUUCAAAGUAAAUAAGGUGUAAAAUUUUUUCACCCAUAGUUGACUGGAUGGUUACCCGGGUACCUAUACUAUGUUUAAAAUACUAAUAAAAUUUUUAAGAGUUAAAUUCAUAUGUUUUAUUAUAUAUACAGUAAUAAGAAGUCAUAGAAAAUUACAGUGAGGUACAAAUUAACGCAACAUAACAAACAAACACUUAAAAACACUAAAAAACAUUACUUAUGAAUUACAGUUUUGACAAAUAGCCACUGAAUGCUCAUUACAUACUGGUUUGGAGCACGAUUUACAGGCUUUACGAGUUUUUCUCUGUUUAUGGGUUCGCUCUCGGCAUAUUUGGCAACUACCAACCACCUUUAUACGUCCAGAUGCAUCUCGUUCACAAACUGCUUGUUCUCUAACUGGAUUAUCUAAAGGAACAGGCAUUCGUGAAGUACCAUUUCUAUAGCCUGACGAGUAAAAUAAUUACCAACAACUUUUGGAAUUUGGGAUCUUAUUUGGAUACUUGACAAACACAGCUCAUUAUCAAGAUCUUUUAAAAAUCGCCGACGUUGAUCAGUAGCUUUGAAAGAAGGAUUAGGUUCCUUGUAUAUACAAUAAGAAGCUAAACUAGCAUCGUCAAUUAUGUUGAAAAAAAAUGCUAAUGGCUAGCGAUUUGUUCUACGUUUGACAGUAUAUUCACAUAGCAUUUGGUCCAUAUGUCAACACCGCCGUUAGUUUUGUUAUAAUAUCUGUUAAUUUCAGGCUUUGCAACAGAAGUAUUAUCUACUUCGCCUGUUGUGUGCAUAGUUGAUAAAAAAAAUCACUGCCUUAUUUUUUUUUGGAACAUAAUAGCAUAAGAACAUAACAGCAAUGUAGCAUCUUUGUUGAAUGCAAAAAAUGGUUAAAUUUAUGGCUCUAUCUUUUUGUGCUUGCAUAUUGGAAGGUAAAAACGUUUUAUUUUUUCUAACUGUUCCUACUAAAGUCAUAUUCCAUGAAUUUAAAGUACGAGCAAGUUGCAAACUUGUAAAAAAAUUGUCUGUUGUGAUAUUUCUUCCUGAUCCCUUAUAAUGUACAACUAAGUCCAAUACUGUUCUCUCACCAAUAUUUGCCUGACGUUCACCACCUGGUGGUUUUCCGGUAUAUAGCUGACCCUUUAGAGGAUAGGAAUUUAUCGCAUCACAAGCCCAAAAAACCUUUAUUCCAUAUUUCGCUGGUUUCGAGGGAAUGUACUGGGUAAACUUAGUGUGUCCUCUAUAUGGAAAUAAUUGUUCAUCUACUGUAAUACACUCUGUUGGCCGAUAAUUUUUUGCCAAAUUUGAAUUAAGCAUAAUCCAGAUAUCUCGAAUUAUAGCUGCUUUAUCUGUCUUUGCACGUUCUAUACGCGUAUUGUGGUCAUCAAACCGAAUAAAUCUUAGAAACAUUUUGAAGCGAUCACGAGGCAUAGCUGCGCGAAACAAAGAGAGCGAAUCCAUCUUCCACAUUUCAGAAAUAUGUUCUUUAUUGAACCUAUGUAAACCAGCAGUAAUUGUUAAUUUAUAUUUAUUUUUCUACUUGUAAUUUGGGAGCACUUGAUUGGGUACACUUGAAUAAUGAGAUAGAUUAAUAACACAUUAUAAUUAUUUUAUUACUUGCUUUAUUCUCCAUAAGUGCAAGUCAUACAAACAACCCAACCUACAACAACUAAACAUCAGUUGUCUUUUGUCAAUGUCUGACAAGCCAUAAAUAGGCAAUUUCAAAAUAUACUCUGGUUGUAUACCUGACAGUAAUUAGAAUUCCGAAAAAUGCAUCUAGGUCUACAUCAGUAAAUGGAAUAAAUACUUUUGGAAAAAAUGUUUUCGGCGGCUUAGUUAUUGCCAAUAACCUUUGGUUAUAUUCCUCCGUAACUCUAUUCCCUUUUUUAUUGCUAUAUUUUAGAAUCAGGGUACACAUUUCUGGGGAUAUAAUAGUUUUAAAGAUGUCUUUGGGCAUAUAUAAACGACUUAAGGCUGGUGCACCACUUUUUUCACGCAAAAUAUUUCAACCUACCGUUUGUCGUUGUGGUGUAGGUGAGUCAUUCCAUUAAGUGCCAUCUUUACUAGUCCAAUGAAAUUGUGAAGAUAAAUUUGGAUGAACGUCAUCAUCAUCAUCAUCAGACUCCGAAUCUUCUAGCUCUACAACAGGAUCGUUUUCAACAUCAGAAUCCUCGCCCUCUCCAUCUGACAGUUGUGGAAUAUACUCCUCUUCAUCAGAAGCAAUAAAUGGCUCUUCUUCUUUAUCACUUAGGUGUUUUAAGGCUUCUUCUAAUUCCGAAUAGGUCAACCUAUUAUAAUUUUCCUAUUAUUAUUUAAUUUACCUCCUUUUAUACUCUGUAUUAACUUUGACAUUUUACCUAUUAUGUAAAAAUAAUAAAUUAUAAUAAUAAAUCUUCCGCCAUCUUCCUCUUGCACUAUGGCUUCGACUAGGACCGGCCUCACUAUCCGACAUUUUAACGUAUAAAAAAUACCUUAUAUUUAACGUAAUUCAAACUCUACUCAAGUAGGUGCAACGCGUUACUGACGAAUAUGAACUGAUCUUGUGCAAAAACACAAACAGUCCGAGGCGCCAGAGAUAGGGGACAACCCACACAGAUGUGCAUGUUUAUAGUUAAGGGUAGAAAUUCACAGAAAAAGCCACGCCGUCCUUAGAAGGUGUUUUUUUUCCCAGUCACAAAAGUUAAGCCAGGAUUAAAGGAUAAGGAUUAAUUAAAACUUCCAUUUUAAUUAUUUGAACAUUAAAAAAAUUACCUAAAGGAAAAUCAAUUUUAGUUACGCUUCACAGAUAUAAAUGAAAUUCAUCAAGUAGGAAGUUAUCCUAAUUAAGAAAAUAAAAAAUGCUUUAUUCGAAAUCUCUUUUGUUAGAAUUCACCUUUUUUAGGUAGUCUAUCGUAGGAUUAAAAGAGGUUUUCAGUUAGGAGUUAACUAAGCAUAAUUAGGCAGAAUUAUUAAAAUUAAAGAUUCAUGAAAGAAAAUAAUUAGGUUACAGUUUAAAAAUUCAAAGGAUUUUUUUUAAAUAGGAGUCUAUAUUAUAUUAUAUGGGACUAAAUAUU
rnacentral:misc_RNA from 1 species